GCAGGCAGCACGGCACAGGGGCGGACAGCUCCGAGGCAAAAUCCUCAGAGUCAUGUCCUCCCCCGCAGCGCUGGCUGUCAGCGGCUCCCACGCUGUGCCCUGAUGCCUCCCACAAGCACAGUCCCCACUCCCACCCUCCAGAACACCCUGCCUCAACACCUGGGCCAUUUCCCAUCUCAGUCAAACCCAUGGGUGGGGGAAGGGGAGAGAGGAAGGGAAUGAGGUCUAGAUGCUGGGAGACAAAGAUGGCCCCAGGCCCCAUCCUGCUUAAAGACGUGCGCGCAGUGCGUGCUUGUGGCUGGGAGAGCACUUCUGCCCAUAAGCCCUGGACACCCACCCCUCACGGACACAGUGAUGAGACAAACCACGAAAUUCUUGCCUCACGUCUGCACACAGGGCUCGACUGGAGUCCUGGAGCCCUGGAACCUUGUGAAGACUGACCAGCGUAGCAGCCCCCACUCCUCUUGCCCCUUUCCAGAUCCUCCCUCGUCGCUCUCACCAUCAGGACCCUAAUUCUUUGUCCCUACACCCCCGGAGAGUGCUUCACUUCCCUAACUCAAAGGAUGGCUGAAGCUCCGCCCCUGCCAGUGACAUCACUGUUUCCAAUAGCAACUGAGGAUUCUGCAAACCCAACUGCAAAAGCCCCCGGUGGGUGCUGCAGCAGCUCCUGCAAGCCCUGGAAAGGCCGUUUCUAAAUAUCCAGAGCUCCGAGAGCUGAUUUUCACAGGCUGGGAGAUUCAGGCUGGCUAUGGCGGAAGCAGUUACACCCAGGAAAUCAUCAAAGCCUGCAAACCAGUGCUUAUUCUGAGGAUGCCACUCUGAGAACUGGGGUCAAGAGCCACUUGUGGACACAUUCUGCCAAGCGGCGACCCGUCCAAGAGGAGGACGAUGACGCCAGGGGGUAGGGUGCAGAAGCUUUGCAGGCCCCUUGGCCAUGGCCAGCCCAAGGCCCAGAGGACGGGCCUGCCUCUGGUGUUCACCUGCGGCGAAGGCCUGCCUCCACAUUAGGACUGGGGAAACAGGACCGACUGUCAGACGUGGACCGGGUGGCGUCAGGCUUUCUGUGCCCGGAUCGUGGAGGCCUGAGGACCUUCAGAAUCCUGCUUCAGACACCAGUGAGGCUAGCUUGUUUGCUCUCGUGCUGAUUCCCCCUCGCCCACCUUGACCCACCUGGUUCUACUGCCUGCCUCCGGCACCACAAGGUCCCUCCUGUCCCUGUUCCCGCCCUCUCAGACUCGCCAAGUCCUACUUUCCCCAAAGGCCACCUUCCCAACAUCACAAAGUCCCCCACAGACCCCACUGUGGACAAGACCGAGCAUUUAGUUCAUGCGGCGGAUGUUUGCUGAGCAGCUGCUACAUUCUGGGCACUGCCCCAAGGGCUGGGGGUACCACAGUGGAGGACUUAGCAGGUACCUUAGGCCAUGAGAUGCAGCAGGAGGAGGAGGAAUCAGACUGCGAGGUCAGAGUGAUGGUGCCAUGUGCUGGUUUUCACGUCUGUGAUCGCGCUGAUAGGCGUCCCCUCAAGGGGGCCCGAUGCUUCUCCCCUUGACUAUGGACUGGACUUGGCGACUUUCCUACUGAAUGGAAUGUGGCAGAAGGGAUGGUAUGUGGCGUCCGAGGUUAGGGUUAGAAAGGGGAGCGUCCGUCUGGCGCUGUCUCUGGCCGUCUGCUCCGGGGCAGGCCAGCCGACCGGCAUGCCGGGAGGAGAGUGGGCAGUCCUGGGAGAGGCCAGCGAGCAGCGCAACCCACACCAGGAGCCUCCUGCCCAUGGCCAGCCCCGACUUGGAAACUCCAAAGGCCCUCCGGCCCCUGCCGAGCGUUCACAUGACCACGUUCCUGGUUAACUUGCUGGUGGUCAUGUCACGGGAGACCUUGAGCCUGAACUACCCUGUCCAGCUGCUCGAGAAUUCCUGACCACAGAAACUGUGACGAACAAUGAAUGUUUAUUGUAGUUUCAGAUGCCAAGUUUUCGGAUAACUCGUUAUGCAGCAACAGAUGACUAGUCAAUAGCGGUUGUUUCUCUAGGUUCCUCCUCCCCUAAAAGAUGUCUGAGGAGACAUCUGAAUGAAGAGGGAAUGGAGGCCAGGCAGCCGUCUGAGCAAAGUGUUCCUGGGAAUGGCAAGUGCAAAGGUUCUCGGGUGGAAAUGUGGCAGCGGGAGUGGGGGACCCCGGUCGGGGAAGCCAGAGAGGCGAUCGGCCAGAUCCUGGGGGACCGAGUAGGCCAUGAGGAAGCCUUCAGCCUUACUUUAAGUGAGCUGAGACGCCAUUGGAGAGAUUAGAU